UACGAAGGGGGCUAGCGUUGCUCGGAAUCACUGGGCGUAAAGCGCACGUAGGCGGGUCUCUAAGUCAGGGGUGAAAUCCUGGAGCUCAACUCCAGAACUGCCUUUGAUACUGGGGAUCUCGAGUCCGGGAGAGGUGAGUGGAACUCCGAGUGUAGAGGUGAAAUUCGUAGAUAUUCGGAAGAACACCAGUGGCGAAGGCGGCUCACUGGCCCGGUACUGACGCUGAGGUGCGAAAGCGUGGGGAGCAAACAGGG
rnacentral:rRNA from 1 species